AACUCAAUGUGGUGCCAUGAGGGUUCAAUAAUACGACACAUACAUCAGAAUCUUGAAGAAUCCUGUGUGAAUAAUAUACCUUCCAGGGCCUGACUCUAGAACUUCCAAUCAGAAUCUUUGAGAUGGUCCAGAAACGCACGUUUUUAAUGAGUUCUCCUCCAUGUAAAGUUCACAUCAGUGCUGAAGAGAUUCUGCAGCCAUAAAGGUGGAUGUUUCCAUGAGUGUUUGGGACACCAACUCAUCCUCAUUAGACAUUAGAUCCAUGCUGGGAAUCCUCAGGUCAGCAAUUUGAACCAGCCCCAGAUCCACCGAAGCUGCAGUCGGAAGAACAAGACACAGAGAAGGAGUGGCAAGAACAAGAAAGCUUCCGAGAGUGCAAGCGUUUUUUUUUUCUUUAUCGGAUUCGACGCUCUGGAGAAAAUUAAACAGGAUUGCACUUUCUAUCGAAUAAAGUACACUCAUUCUUCAGAAUCAUAGAUUGUGAAUCUAACAAUCUUGCUGAGAAUGGAUACUCUGACUUCCAGAGACUUGAUGACUUUGUUUCCUCUCUUCUCCCGUAAUUUUACGUGUGAUAAGUGGAUGUUGGCAGCUUCUCCAAAUAAGGCAUGAAUCAAGAAUGUACUCUCAACGUGAAAUAGCAAGCCAAAGAUUGAUUAUAUCUACUUAAGUCUAUGAUAAAAAUGGACACCAGCUUGCCAAAUUAUUUCAGCUGCCAAGAACACCAACCACCAAAGUAUCAGGACAGAUGGAUUUCACCAAAGCCUUGAUAUAAUCUGAGGAAAAGAAACUCAGGGAAAAUGUGCUGAUCCAUCAUUUAAGGGGCAAAGGUUCUUGUUUCUGUGGUCAAAGAAAUGGAGUGGGAUGAUAUGGAGAUUGUCUGUGACCCAAAGACUGCUGGUCUCCGUAAUCAUGGCAUAGAGAAAAAGAGGAGCAGGGAUUUAUCACAGAGAUGUAAGUUUAUGGGGAAGGAAACAGAAGCACUUACAAGUCUUUCUG
rnacentral:lncRNA from 1 species